rnacentral:tRNA from 1 species
GGGGAUUCGGCUCAGUGGUAGAGCGCUUGCCUAGGAAGCACAAGGUCCUGGGUUCAAUUCCCAGCCCCG